rnacentral:rRNA from 1 species
UGCAAGUCGAGCGAUGAAACCCUUCGGGGUGGAUUAGCGGCGGACGGGUGAGUAACACGUGGGUAACCUGCCUCAAAGAGGGGGAUAGCCUCCCGAAAGGGAGAUUAAUACCGCAUAACAUUAGUUUUUCGCAUGAAGAACUAAUUAAAGGAGUAAUCCGCUUUGAGAUGGACCCGCGGCGCAUUAGCUAGUUGGUGAGGUAAAGGCUCACCAAGGCGACGAUGCGUAGCCGACCUGAGAGGGUGAUCGGCCACAUUGGAACUGAGACACGGUCCAGACUCCUACGGGAGGCAGCAGUGGGGAAUAUUGCACAAUGGGCGAAAGCCUGAUGCAGCAACGCCGCGUGAGUGAUGAAGGCCUUCGGGUUGUAAAGCUCUGUCUUUUGGGACGAUAAUGACGGUACCAAAGGAGGAAGCCACGGCUAACUACGUGCCAGCAGCCGCGGUAAUACGUAGGUGGCGAGCGUUGUCCGGAUUUACUGGGCGUAAAGGAUGCGUAGGCGGAUAUUUAAGUGAGAUGUGAAAUACCCGAGCUUAACUUGGGUGCUGCAUUUCAAACUGGAUAUCUAGAGUGUGGGAG